ACUAGUCAGAUGUGUUUCUGCUGAGCCACAAUAGGAACUCCCAGAAAAUGAUUUUGAUUCCUAUUGCUCAAUUACUGCAAACUUGAUGGCUUCAAAACAACACUAAUGUAUUAUCACCUUACAGUUCUAGAAGUCAGAAGUCCAGAGUGGGUCUCACUGAGCUUAGUAAAGAUUUCAGCAGAGCUGUGUUCCUUCUAGAGGCUCCAGGGGAGAAUCUGUUUCUUGGCCUUUCCUGGGCUCUAGAGAUUGACUGUUCCUUCUAGAGGCUCCAGGGGAGAAUCUGUUUCUUGGCCUUUCCUUGGCUCUAGACCCCUUCUGUCUUCAAGCUGGCAGUGGCAGGGUGAGUUUUUUCCAGUGCAUCACUCUGAAACUAAUUCCUCUUUCGCCCUCUUCACAGGUAGAGGAUCCUCGUGAUUACAUUGGCCCAUCUGAAUAAUCCAGGAUAAUAUCCUUAUUUUAAGGUUCUGAGAUCUGGAAGUUUAACCAUCAAAUUAGAUACUUUUAAAUCGGGCACCUUUUCCUUUCUGGUCCCCAGAGAACUUCCGCUGCCUGUGCACCCACGAGAAGGGCUUUGGCUUCAAGGGCAGCAGCUUCCACCGCAUCAUCCCCCAGUUCAUGUGCCAGGGCGGCGAUUUCACCAACCACAAUGGCACUGGGGGCAAGUCCAUCUAUGGGAAGAAGUUUGAUGAUGAAAACUGUAUCCUCAAGCACACGGGACCAGCAGAUUAGCAAUGUGGACGGACCGACACUGCAGGAUCACAUCGCCGGAGUCACAGUAACAUGAUUUUCUGAAACAGUGAAAAUCUCUUGAUUGUGGACUCCAGCAGCAUUGGGACCAGUAUCCCCAAGUGCCUGGUUGUGUCAGUGUUUGUUGAGUGAAUGAAUGAAAGGACGAACCCAUAUGAAAUGAUUGAAACAAGCCCACUCAGUGUUUCGUUGACUCUUCACUGUGUGGAAGACAAGGCAUCCAAGACUGUCUGUCCCAGCGUCUGAGCCUGUCCGACUGAAAGGCAGAGAGCAUCCGCACGAGACAGUCUCUGAGGGCCAGACAUCUCAAAUUGGAGGGAGCCGAUGUGCGUUGCCCCCAGGCCUGCUCUCCAUGGCCAACUCCGACCCAAACACCAAUAGCUCCCUUCCUGACGUGUGACAAGACAGAUUGGCUGGACGGCAAGCACGUCGUGUUCGGGGAGGUCACGGAAGGCCUGGACGUCUUGCGGCAGAUUGAGCCUUGAAAGUGACCCAGACUGCCAGAGGCAACCAGAUAAACGAGAUGGCCCUGAUGACCGACCAUUGCCACCUCGUCGGCUUUGUGUCCUUAAUCCCCUCCCUUCUCUGAAGCCUCUUCCCUUUGAUGCCAUCCGCUGGCCACCUGAACAGCUGAAGCUGGCCAGAGGCGACCUGGGCACCAUGCUGUCCUUGGUGUGGCAGGAGGGGGAAGCAGUGCAUUGAACUCCGAACAGCUGCCGACUGCCUGGAGCUCUGUGCUGAGCGCUUCCAGGGCCUGUCCAAGGUCAGUGGAAGAAGUGUCCACAGGGGUGACUGAUGGCCAUGGGCAAGCGGACAGGCCGUGGUGGCAUCUGUGCUGUGUCUGCCGGCCUGCAGCUAUGUCCUUGCUUCUGCUAAGAGUUCGCUGUGUCUCAGUGCGAAGCGCCACACGGAGAGGUGGAGGGACGCGGCUGCCCCCAAGGUACAUAGCUUCCCUGGGUGUGUCACAUCUUCCCCAGGCAGGAGAAGGGCAGGCCCAGGGAGGGGAAGACACACCAUGAGACAUCCCCGCCAGCUCCGGCCGGAAGCAGGAGGCCCGUGGUCCUCUCCUAAUGCGCCGACUGCCCGAAGGCCAAGUUAGGAGCCACUAACCCACUGCAUCGAGGGAUGACGUUGUUGCUGCUGUCGUAGUAGAGCACGGAGGUGGCGCUCAGCUUGGUGGGCGCGCAGCACGCCUUGGGGACCACGUCUGGCUUCAUCAGGUGCACCUGGCGGGGGAGAGGGUGGCAGGCCGAGGCGUGAGACUUGUGGGCUCCUCCUGGGAACCCCCCCAGUUCCAGCCCCCAAGCUCUUGCCACUUGGGCUCUGACUGCUCAAGCUGCCUCGGCUCUAUCUGCACCUGCGGCUGGGCAGGUAGGUGCAGGCAUGGGCUCUGCCCCGACCCUGCCCUCCUUGACCUGUGCCCUGCCCACUGCCCUCAGGCCCAGCCUGGGCACCUGCCAUACCCCCUCCCCUCAGACAGGACAACUCAGACCCUGCUUGUCCCCAGCACGUGUGCCGGCGCUUCUGCCUGGUGCCCCUGCAGCACUGCUCCCUGGGUCUCUGCUGCUCCCCUCUCUUCCCUGCAUUUCUGUAAUGUCCCUGAUGUGUCUUGUCCACAUCAGCUGUUUCUGGUCCAUCUGCCCCUCCAGACUGAGAGCCGUGAAUGUCCAAGCAACACCAGCUGACACCCAGACUUCCAGGCUCACCCUCGGGGUGUUGGACACUGUCGUUUCUCAACACAGCUUCACCCUUAUAACAACGAGGGAGGGACUGUUCUGGGCAGAGGACCACUGAGGGCACAGGAGCCGCGUCACAUGCACAGUCACAUGGCUGACACCCAAGCUCGACUGGGACCCGGUGCAGGGAUCCUGCUACCCUCCUCCAAAGGGCUCUGCCCCAAACCCAGCCCAACUGAGUCAGCUAUGCAGCCUCCACACAAAUAUUUAUCCAGAGACUUGGCAGGAAGAGCUGUAGUUCACACUGGACUCCGCACUGGGGCCCCCCGCAGAAGGGCCCUGAAGGCAGCCUCGCAGCCCAUCAGGGGCUGGAGAGGAAAGGGAACCUGCUUCCACCCACCCCAACCUCCCAGCUGUCACAGAGCCUGCUGAGCAGGACCUGGACGAAGCUGUCUGAUGGGGGGGGGGGUCCUGCCAGCAGCUUGGUCCCCGGUCCCCAGUGCCCAGACUUGUCCCAGAAGCCGCAGCUCGGAGCCAGCCUACUGCCAGGACCAUUAGCCAAUCACCAGGCUAGCUUGGGGCCCAGAGCCUCUCUGAGGCCCCUGGGGGAGCCAAGGCCUCUCUGGGGAUGUCCAGCCAGACGGAUGUGAGGCCCAUGCUCCCCACCUCCCCAUGUGGUGGCUGGGCUUGGCUUUCAUAGACUAACGUGAAAGAAACCAGGCAACACUGCCCACCUGUACCAGCCAAGGGGUCUCUAAGUGGCUGGAAUCUGGGGAGAGCCUCUUCUAGAAUUGGGAUCUGGAGAGCAGUCAGCACCACAGGGCAUGGCCAUUGUUUGAGUCCAGCCUAGAGCUUCACCAGGUUAGUGACAAAAAGAGGACGCCUUUUAACGAACUCAAAUAGGAUCCGUGAGGAUGUGGGUUCGAUCCCCGGCCUCGCUCAGUGGGUUAAA